rnacentral:tRNA from 1 species
GGGCGGUUAGCUCAGCUGGUUAGAGCGCAGCGUUGACAUCGCUGAGGUCACUGGUUCGAAUCCAGUAUCGCCCA